ACGAAAAAUGGUGAUGUUAGUUGUCAUUCUCAGUUUUUGCUGGAGUGAAUUUCAUAGUAUUGGGCCAGCUCCUGAAAAAGCCCUGUCUGCUGCAUCUGCUAGUUUUACUUCUGAUGUGUAGACAGUUGUUCCUGAGGAACACAGCUACUGAAGUCUGAGAGAGUAAGAUGGUAUAUUGGGCCCAUUUCCUUUACAGCUUUGAAAAUAAAGACCGAGAUUUGAUUCAGUGUUCUGUUGAGGAAUGAGCGGAGUGAGUGAAACAUAGGACUGAUGUACUCAAGUGAACCUGUAUUACUGAGGAGGUGUGCUGCUGUGUUCUGUAACUCUUGCAGAUUUUGCAGGGCAGAAGCAUUCAAGUCUAAAUACGUUGGAUUGCGAUGAUUCGAGCAAGAGUUAAUGAUGGCCUAUGUGGUUGAGGCCAAAUUGUAAAUACAAAUGAUGGGCUGUAGCCUUACCAGAUUAAGGAAAUGGAGGAAAAAAACCUUCUUCGCUGCCAGUCUGAUCAAAAAUCUCAAGAAAUCCAUCAGCUGCAAGAAGAACUGAAAACAGCUAAACAGUUUCUGAAGGAGACCCAGAAUUAUGCGGAAGAGAUGAAAACCUGGAAGCCUCUUUCAACCAGGGAAUGGGACCCAAAAUUUAGGUCACAAUGGAGUGGGAAUUGUGCCUGUCUGUUUAUCAGGUACCCAGCCGCCCCGGAGGAGGAAGAGGCUGGACUGGGGGGAGCUAAAGAGCUCUGAGCCUACCCCGCAAAGGGUCAAGCGCCGACCCGGAAGUAUAAAGGCGGGCCUUCCGAGCUCAGUGGGAGGUCAGCGACCAGAGCGAGCGGACGUCCUUCCGGGAGCUUGGCGCCAGGAGGCUUCUACCCUCCCCCGUGCUCGCUACCCCGAGGAGCUGCCGGAGCUCCCCUGGACCGCCGUUCCGGAGGAGUUGCCGGACCUGCCACCCAGCCCCGUCCGAGACGAACCCAUGCACCUGGACCCGGUGGAGGAUGACCCCAGGAUCCAGGUGCUGAUGAGGUUGCCAUCUACGUACAUUCACUGACCCAGGACAAUGAGCCAGACGGACUCCCAGAGGUGGUCAAAAAAGGUAGAUGAUACUCAACAGUGCCAAGCAGAAACAGCUAUUGAACCCAUGGAAUCUAGUUCAAGAUCUCCUCUUUUCAUAAAUAAUCAACUCACAAAAGCUGUUGCUGAGAACUCUGUGUGUGUUGAGAUUCUCCCCAAAGGCAGAUGUUCCUUGAGCACACAAACUACCUGGUCAAAAUGAACAAGACAAACCGUAUGAUACAGUAAACCUAGUAGUAUAUGGGCCGUACCAUGAAUCAAACCCUAACCCUGCCUCUUGACCCCUUACACUCCUCCCACCUGUCUCCAGAAGUCCCGCCCCAGGGGGUAUUACUUCUGGGGUACAGAUGACCGGAAGCAAGGUGUGUGUCACG